rnacentral:pre_miRNA from 1 species
UUCGUACUCCCUCCGUCCAAUAAAAGAUGUCUUUAAGUUUGUCAAAAUUUGGAUGCAAGACAUGACUUAGUGUAUAGAUGCAUCCAAAUUUAGUCAAAGUUGAGACUUCUUUUGUUGGACAGAGAAACUAGAUA